rnacentral:lncRNA from 1 species
AUGUGAACAGAUCCUUAAACACACACACACACACACACACACACACACACACACACACACACACCCCUUGUUGUUUCUUUUUCUCUGGAAGACCCUAAUACAUCAGGAUUUAGGAUCUAGCUUUUUGCCAGCUCCAGCAGUGAAGCACCAUUCGGUACAGAUUUUAGGCCCUACAAAAUAAUGAGGUGUUAUUCCCCUAGUCCUCUCAGUUCAAUGCCUUGGUCCUGAAUAUAGGGAAUGGUAUGGAAUGAUGUGGAAUGGUGACAAUUUGCUAAAAAACAAAGUGUUGUCUCGGUGAGCUAUGUGACAAGUUGACAGUAGAUGAACUCAGUUUU